ACGACGGGUUUUAGUGUAAAACCGUCGUAGUUGGGUUAAAAAAAAAAAACAAAGCCCGUUAAAACCUUCCCCUCUUCGUUACUGAACCCUAGCCCCUCUCCCUCCCUUUCCCUCAGAUUUCUCACUUCCUUUUCUCCUUUCCAUUUCUCACCUUCUCCCCCUCUCUUCAUCUCUUCUCUACCCCUUUUUUGGUUUUCCUUACUCUUACGAAUCAAAACCCGCAACUUUGGACGUCGUUGGAGGGCUUUCGUCGCUACCCACCAUAACUGACGAGGGGUGACCACUGGUAGCAAGGUGUAUUAGGUCCAAUUCAUAGUACCUGAAAGCACACUUUACUCAAAGUGGGAGGAGGUGUUAGUAGG